rnacentral:rRNA from 1 species
UACAGAGGGUGCAAGCGUUAAUCGGAGUUACUGGGCGUAAAGGGCGCGUAGGCGGCUUGGCAAGUGGAUGGUGAAAUCCCUCGGCUUAACCGAGGAACUGCCGUCCAAACUGCUUAGCUUGAGACCGGGAGAGGUGAGUGGAAUUCCCAGUGUAGCGGUGAAAUGCGUAGAUAUUGGGAGGAACACCAGUGGCGAAGGCGGCUCACUGGACCGGUACUGACGCUGAUGCGCGAAAGCGUGGGGAGCGAACAGG